UGCUUCAGUGUCCUGGUGCUGCUGCACUGCGGAGGCCAUGCAGUCCCUUAGCCAAGAUGCCUGAGGAAACCCAGACCCAAGACCAAUCGAUGGAGGAGGAGGAGGUGGAGACGUUCACCUUUCAGGCAGAAAUUGCCCAGUUGAUGUCACUGAUCAUCAAUACUUUCUAUUCGAACAAAGAGAUCUUUCUGAGAGAGCUCAUUUCAAAUUCCUCAGAUGCAUGGGACAAAAUCUGGUAUGAAAGCUUGAUGGAUCCCGGAAAAUUGGACUCUGGGAAAGAGCUGCAUAUUAACCUUAUACCAAAUAAAUAAGAUUGAACCCUCACUAUUGUGGAUACUGGAAUUGGAAUGACCAAGGCUGACUUGAUCAAUAACCUUGGUACUAUCACCAAGUCUGGGACCAAAGCAUUCACAGAAGCUUUGCAGGCUGGUGCAGAUAUCUCUAUGAUUGGCCAGUUUGGUGUUGGUUUUUAUUCUGCGUAUUUGGUUGCUGAGAAAGUAACAGUGAUCACCAAACAUAACGAUGAUGAGCAGUAUGUCUGGGAGUCCUCAGCAGGGGGAUCAUUCACAGUGAGGACAGACACAGGUGAACCUAUGGGUCAUGGAACAAAGGCUAUCGUACACCUGAAGGAAGACCAAACUGAGUACUUGGAGAACGAAUAAUAAAGGAGAUUGUGAAGAAACAUUCUCAGUUUAUUGGCUAUCCCAUUACUCUUUUUUGGAGAAAGAACGUGAUAAAGAAGUCAGCGAUGAUGAGGCUGAAGAAAAGGAAGAUAAAAAAGAAGAAAAAGAAAAAGAAGAGAAAGAGUCUGAAGACAAACCUGAAAUUGAAGAUGUUGGUUCUGAUGAAGAAGGAAAGAAGGAUGGUGACAAGAAGAAGAAGAAGAAGAUGAUUAAGGAAAAGUACAUUGAUCAAGAAGAAUGCAACAAAACAAAGCCCAUCUGGACUAGAAAUCCUGAAGAUAUUUCUAUUGAGGAGUAUGGAGAAUUCUACAAGAGCUUGAGCAAAUGACUGGGAAGAUCAUUUGGCAGUGAAGCAUUUUUCAGUUGAAGGACAGUUGGAAUUUAGAGCCCUUCUAUUUGUCCCACUACGUGUUCCUUUUGACUCCUUUGAAAACAGAAAGAAAAAGAACACCAUCAAGUCAUAUGUAUGCAGAGUUUUCAUCAUGGUUAACUGUGAGGAGCUCAUCCCUGAAUAUCUGAAUUUCAUUACAGGGGUGGUAGACUCAGAGGAUCUCCCUCUAAAUGUUUUCCAUGAGAUGUUGCAGCAAAGCAAAAAUUUGAAAGUUAUCAGGAAGAAUUUUGUUAAAAAAUGCUUAGAACUCUUCACUGAACUGGCAGAAGGUAAAGUGAACUACAAGAAGUUCUAUGAGCAGUUCUCUAAGAACAUAAAGCUUGGAAUACACGAAGACUCUCAAAAUCGGAAGAAGCUUUCAGAGCUGUUGAGUUACUACACAUCUGCCUCUGGUGAUGAGAUGGUUUCUCUCAAGGACUACUGCACCAGAAUGAAGGAAAACCAGAAACAUAUCUAUUAUAUCACAGGUGAGACCAAGGACCAAGUAGCUAACCCAGACUUUGUCAAACAUCUCGAAAACAUGGCUUAGAAGUGAUCUAUAUGAUUGAGCCCAUUGAUAAGUACUAUGUCCAACAGCUGAAGGAAUUUGAGGGGAAGACUUUAGUGUCAGUCACCAAAGAGGGCUUGGAACUUCCAGAGGAUGAAGAAGAGAAAAAGAAACAGGAAGAGGAAAAAAACAAAGUUUGAGAACCUCUGCAAAAUAAUGAAAGACAUUGGAGAAAAAAGUUGAAAAGAUGGUUGUGUCAAACUGAUUGGUAACAUCUCCAUGCUAUAUUGUCACAAGCACAUAUGGCUGGACAGCAAACAUGGAGAGAAUCAUGGAAGCUCAAGCCCUAAGAGACAACUCAACAAUGGGUUACAUGGCAGCACAGAAACACCUGGAGAUAAACCCUGACCAUUCCAUUAUUGAGACCUUAAGGCAAAAGGCAAAGGCUGAUAAGAACGACAAGUCUGUGAAGGGUCUGGUCAUCUUGCUUUAUGAAACUGAGCUCCUGUCUUCCGGCUUCAGUCUGGAAGAUCCCCAGACACAUGCUGACAGGAUCUACAGGAUGAUCAAACUUGGUCUAGUUUGAUCAAACAUUGAUGAAGAUGACCCUACUGCUGAUGAUACCAGUGCAGCUAUAACUGAAGAAAUGCCACCCCUCAAAGGAGAUGAUACAUCAUGCAUGGAAGAAGUAGACUAA